rnacentral:rRNA from 1 species
UCUCAGUUCGGAUUGGAGUCUGNAACCCGACUCCAUGAAGCUGGAUUCGCUAGUAAUCGCGCAUCAGCCACGGCGCGGUGAAUACGUUCCCGGGCCUUGUACACACCGCCCGUCAAGCCAUGGAAGCCGGGAGUGCCUGAAGUGCGUGAGCGCAAGCAGCGCCCUAAGGUAAAACCGGUGACUGGGGCUAAGUCGUAACAAGGUAAC